CUCCAACACGGUGUCAUUAUUUUCCACCUGAAAAACACAACCAAAGUGAGCUUCUCAAUCUUGGAUAUCUAGAACUUUUCCUUUCAUACCUGAUAUUGACAACAUGGAUCGUAGUUCCAGGAAACCGUGUACAGUCCUGUGCAAAAAAUCGAGAGUGCACAAGCGGGAGCUGCAAUGAUGGGGCGAUCCCGCCACAGCAAGCUGGCCACCAGGGAAACCACUCCAGUGGCCACCGCCGUCUUGUGCAGGCAAUUGCCCACCCAAAUCCAACGACCUUUUCGUCGCCCAGCCGAGGCGGCUCUAUAACGAUGAAGUCCAACUUGGCUUCCAGCGCCUUGUCCAGCUCAGCCUCGAAUCUUUCAUGGGCAUUGGAGCUGUCGUAGACCUCGCGGAUGACAUGGAAAGUGGGCACCUUACUCGUGCUGCACAAUUAGAACAACAAUACACGAAUCAAUCAUGGUUAUCUUGAUGUGGAACUCAAGGUUAAGGUCAAGAUCAAGCGCUCAGAACAACCGAAGCAGAGAAGCCAUUGUGCAGACGAGAUAAAUGAAGAAGCCGCCUAGUAAAUUGCAUAACCAGGGCAGGUGCACUUGGGAACUGGGAUUUGGCUGCACCCAGGUGGAAUGUGUUGCGUAAUCCCACUGCAUUCACGUAACUAGGCGCCGUAUUUACCUUUCUAUAUUUCUGCUAACCAUUUUGCUAAU
ensembl:ncRNA asRNA:CR45026 antisense RNA:CR45026